UGGGGAAUCAUGGUCAAUGGGCGCAAGCCUGAACCUGCGACGCCGCGUGAGUGAUGAAGGUCGUAAGAUCGUAAAACUCUUUUCAGGGAUCUUAAAGGCAGCACUCUAACAGAGUGUCUGCUGUGACUCUCCCUGGAAUAAGCCCCAGCCAACUACGUGCCAGCAGCUGCGGUAAUACGUAGGGGGCGAGCGUUAUUCGGAAUUACUGGGUGUAAAGGGUAUGUAGGCGGUCGCGCAAGUCGGUGGUCAAAGCCCGAUGCUCAACAUCGGGUCUGCCUCCGAUACUGGGCGACUUGAGGGCUGGAGAGGUGAGCGGAAUUCCCGGUGUAGUGGUAAAAUACGUAGAUAUCGGGAGGAACACCAGCGGCGUAGGCGGCUCACUAGACAGCAUCUGACGCUA
rnacentral:rRNA from 1 species